rnacentral:lncRNA from 1 species
AGGGGCCAGAUCACAAGACUUUGCCUGCUGUGAUAAGGAAUUUCCAGUACAUGAGAGUGCACUCACUUCCUUGUCCUCUAGGACAAUACUAAGAUUUAGACACAUUCUUAGCAUCUGUGGUGAAAUAUGAAUGAACAAUAACAACAAGUCCCUAAGGAUCGAAAACAAAUCGUAUAUCCUAUGACAGGUUCUUUUUGAUGAAUAGCACCACAAUGACACUGAAGAAAGAUGCUUCAGCUGAAGUGGUAGCUGUCUUCUUUAACUCACAGUUGAUGAAUGGACCUGAAACCCAGUUUCCCAACAAAAUAUGCCACUUACAUUCAGAAUAUUGCAGAAGAAGUCAUGCAGAGAAUGAGUUUUGGAGAUAUUCAAUCCUAGAAUCCAGCAUGGUCUCAUUCUUUCACCAGGCUUCGAGGGGAGAGGGACCAACAAGAAUGUAGUUCUGGAGUGAUGGCCAGAUUUGGGCAUGGAGAUACAAGAAGUCUGGAAUGGGGUGCUGAGACACACUGGGAUGCGAAGCUCUGAAGAAUAAACAGAGCAAUAUAACCAUUUCUGGAAUUCAAACAUCUAACCCUUCCUUCUCGGCUGUGAAACUGUAAGGCCCCAGAGUUAACCACACAAGC